AAAUAAGGUUAAAAGUAAGAGGACUUAACUUUUGAGAAUAUUAAAGUACAAGAAACAAUGUUUAUUGUGGGAAUACUUGCACAUCCCUAAUUUCCUGGAGUCUGAGGUUAUAUUGGCCACUCACAAAAAGAACAAGGGGCAAAGCCUGGGACCCCAACAAGUGAGAAAACAAAAACAAGCCCCAGAAAAUGAGUAUUGACCCAUAGAUAUCAAGGAUAUCAAGUGAACUCAACCAUGGUUCUGAGUACCAAGGGGUCAAAGCAAAAUGAACAAUAUAUAGGUGUCCCCCAAAGUGUAUAGACUCUGAUUGCUCAUAUGUUUCUUUCUUUUCAGAUUUAACCCAUAGAAUUAAUAAUUAUUCAAAAUAUGUAUACAUUUUUGGGUGACCCUGUGUAUAUUGUAGCCUUAUAGUGCAAAGCCUGUGGAGGUCUCCUAUUUCUGUGUACUGAGUGCCUGUAAUAUUCUGUUUCUUGAUUAGAUGCUGACCUCACAAGUAUGUGUAGUUUGUGAAAAUAUACUGAGCUGUCACUUUUGAUCUGUGCAUAUUUUUUAGGGGCCUUUUAUACUUCAAUAAAAUGCCUACAAAAUCAUAUCUAUUAGGUGACUUUCCCCCAAACUCAUAAGGUGAACAUUUGCUGUAAUUUGUGGGGGGUAGUCGAGUUCCACAUCCCUGGCAGAAAAAAAAUGCAAAUUUUCUUUGAAGAAAUGUAAAUUAAACUCAGAAUUUUCACAAAUUCUUCUAAGAAUUAAUAAAUACAAGAGGGAGUGAGCCACCAGGUGAGAACAGAGCACCGUACGUAUUUCAGAAUCACACCAACAAUGACAGUUAAUGCUGGAAUUAUCAGAGGACAACUAUGAAAUAAGUGUGAUGGGUAUGUUUGAAAGUGUGAUGAAGUAGGGAAUAUCAAUAUUGCACUUAUUAGUAAAGAUCCAAAUGGUAGUUCUAGAAAUGUAAAAUAAAAUUUAAAUUAGAAAAUCAAUAGCUUUAAAAAAUAUGUAAUUUUAAAUGUCUACUAGACACAAGAAAAAGUGGAAAUAAACAAGUGAAAUUAAUUUUAAUUACAUUUAACCCAAUAAAUUAAAAAUAUUACCCUUUUAACAUCCAAUCAAUACAAGAUUAUUAAUGAGAUAAUUUACUUUUUUCAUACAAGUCUUUGACAUUUAGAAUGCGUUUUAUACUAAAAGCAUAUCAAUCUGGAAUAGUUACUCUUAAUCUAUUCUGUAUACACACACUGUACUUACAGUUUUCUGCUGUGUGUAGAUGGGCAUGGGUCCAAGAAGAAGCAAAACUGUUUAUUUAAAUUCCUAUGUAAUGUUAAUUUAAUUGAACAGAUGUGUUUACUUUAUUGAACCAUUUUCCUACUGAGAGAUAUUUUGUUUAUUUUUCAUAUUUCAAAUAAGUCUGCAAGGAGCAGCAUUUAUUCAAAAUCUAUUUGCAUGUGUGUAUUUCCAAGGCAUAGAGUUUAGAUAUGGACUUGCUAUACAAUGGAUGGCUUUAAUAGCAGAUUAGGCACAAUUGAAUGCUACUUAGUGAACUGGAAAAGAGAUCUGAAAAAAAAAUACCCAGAAUGCAGUACAGAGAGACUAGGGAAGGGAAGAUUAAGACACAUAAAGAACACAGUUAUACGUGUUAAAACAAAGACAAAAGAAAGACAGGGAGUAGAAAUGUUUCUAAAGAUAAUACCUAAGAUGUCUCUAGAAUUAAUUAAAAAAAAAAUCCACAACAAAACAGCAGUUUCCAAUUAAAACGACCCAAUGAAUCCCAAGGAAAAUAAAUGAAAAGAAACAAAAUAGAUCCAGAGACAGAAAAACAUGGAACAGAAUUAUGAAUCUCCAAGGGAAGGUGGGGGUGGGUGGGUGGGUGAGGAGAGAUUAAUCAGGGAACUUACAUGCUUAUAUGCACAGUCAUGGACACCAACAAUAGUGUGGUGGAGGCCUGGGUGUGGGAUGGAGGAGUUAGGGGGGGG